rnacentral:rRNA from 1 species
GACGAACCGUGCGAACGUUGUUCGGAAUCACUGGGCUUAAAGGGCGCGUAGGCGGGUUUUCAAGUCUGUGGUGAAAGCCUCCAGCUUAACUGGAGAAGUGCCGUGGAUACUGGAGACCUCGAGGAGGGUAGGGGCAUCUGGAACAGCCGGUGGAGCGGUGAAAUGCGUUGAUAUCGGCUGGAACUCCGAUGGCGAAGGCAAGGUGCUGGACCCUCUCUGACGCUGAGGCGCGAAAGCUAGGGGAGCGAACGGG